rnacentral:lncRNA from 1 species
ACAGCAUAUUGUGAGCUGCCAUUUAAUAAGACAAAUUAUCAAUAUAAACAUACAUUAUACAAUAUGAAUUCAAUAACUUGUACCAGUACUAGAGAAAUAAUCUCAUGUCAACCUUUUGCAUUUGAAUAACUAUAUGUAUACCCUAUACGCUCAUAUCUAUGAAAAAGCAUAAAUGAAUACAAUAAUAUAGUGUUGCCGAUAGCCCAGCAAGCAUAGUGAACAACAGAAUUCAUUAAAUAAUUACAUACAUAUGUCUUAUAUAUAUAUAAACAUAUGAAAAAAGCAAUUACACAAUUACUCCUAAAAACAAAAACCUUGAAAUAUAAUAUUAGGUACAACUUAGCUAGAACAAAGAGAUAUAAUAUGGUUGACAUGAAUGUAAACUGAAUAACUGAACAAAUGAAUAACUCGAUCAUCAACGACCUCGCCGGCCAGGAACAACCAAACAAACCCAAUAAUGGGAAACUGGAAACCUGGGUCCAACCCAAGGAUCUGGAUACAGUCAUAUAUGCUUCGACCCAAUGCGACAAGUCGUCUCACGAGACAUACUUGGACGUGUAUUGUUUUGAAAAAUAUAUAAAUGCAUGUAUCAAAGUAUUAAUAAUAUGAAUGGAACAUGAAUGUUGCCCUGUCUGCAGCGGGCUAGAAAGUGAUAAUCUCCGGGAAAAAUUUCCUGCUAUAAUAUUAGUCACAUGUCUUAUACCUACUGAUGUGAACUCAUAAAAAUA